UCCUGGUUAGUUCAUUUGGUAGAGUGUUCCACUGGAAAUGUAGAGUCCCUGGUUCGAUGCCAGGACCAGGCG
rnacentral:tRNA from 2 species